rnacentral:lncRNA from 12 species
ACUUUCGUUGCAAAUUUGACUUCAGGGUAUAAUUUUGAAGUCGAGAGCAGUUUGAGAGUGUUUGGGGGAAAAAAAAAUUUCUAAUUACAGAAAACAGCAUAGGCACAGAGGGAAAUUUGUAAAAACCUGGACUGGCCAGCUAGAGAAGUCAAGCUACUGAAUCACAUCCCCAAAGCUGCAAGUUGCUCAAGGCUGGGCAUUUUACAUAAUUAAAAGGAGCUCUGUGACAAAUCGCACCACCCAGUACACCCGUGACAGACAUCUCUGAAUUGCCUGGGGG